GAUGAACGCUGACAGAAUGCUUAACACAUGCAAGUCGAUGGGGAAGUGGUGCUUGCACCAUGGCAACCAUGGCGGACGGGUGAGUAACGCGUAAGGGACUUACCUGCAGGACUGGGAUAACAGGGGGAAACUCCUGACAAGACCGGAUAAUGUCAUGGAGCUGCAUGGCUUUAUGAUGAAAGGAGACGCCUGCGGAGAGCCUUGCGUCCUAUUAGCUAGUUGGUGAGGUAAUGGCUCACCAAGGCGAAGAUAGGUAGCCGGCCUGAGAGGGUGGACGGCCACAAGGGGACUGAGAUACGGACCUUACUCCUACGGGAGGCAGCAGUGGGGAAUAUUGGACAAUGGGGGCAACCCUGAUCCAGCAAUUCUGUGUGCACGAAGAAGGUUUUCGGAUUGUAAAGUGCUUUCAGCAGGGAAGAAGUAAGUGACGGUACCUGCAGAAGAAGCGACGGCUAAAUACGUG
rnacentral:rRNA from 1 species